UACAGAGGGUGCGAGCGUUGUUCGGAAUUACUGGGCGUAAAGCGCGCGCAGGCGGCCUUUUAAGUCUCGUGGUGAAAUGCCGGGGCUCAACCCCGUGCCCGCCGGAGAUACUGGGAGGCUGGAGACGAGUAGAGGCAAGCGGAAUUCCGGGUGUAGCGGUGGAAUGCGUAGAUAUCUGGAGGAACACCGGUGGCGAAGGCGGCAUCCUGGACCGAUACUGACGCUGAGGAGCGAAAGCCAGGGGAGCAAACGGG
rnacentral:rRNA from 1 species